rnacentral:rRNA from 1 species
UACAGCCAUACCACUCUAAACGCGCCCGAUCUCGUCUGAUCUCGGAAGCUAAGCAGGGUCGGGCCUGGUUAGUACUUGGAUGGGAGAAUAACACUGUGCUGUUUUAA